ACGGAAGGCAGCAGUGGGGAAUAUUGCACAAUGGGGGAAACCCUGAUGCAGCGACGCCGCGUGAGUGCAGAAGUACUUCGGUAUGUAAAGCUCUAUCAGCAGGGAAGAUAAUGACGGUACCUGACUAAGAAGCACCGGCUAAAUACGUGCCAGCAGCCGCGGUAAUACGUAUGGUGCAAGCGUUAUCCGGAUUUACUGGGUGUAAAGGGUGCGUAGGUGGUAUGGCAAGUCAGAAGUGAAAGGCUGGGGCUCAACCCCGGGACUGCUUUUGAAACUGUCAAACUAGAGUGCAGGAGAGGCAAGCGGAAUUCCUAGUGUAGCGGUGAAAUGCGUAGAUAUUAGGAGGAACACCAGUGGCGAAGGCGGCUUGCUGGACUGUAACUGACACUGAGGCACGAAAGCGUGGGGAGCAAACAGGAUUAGAUACCCUGGUA
rnacentral:rRNA from 1 species